GAUCAACAUGUUCGAAGUUAAACAAGUGUAUUAACAUAGAUAAUAUCUAAACGUGGAUGUCAUAAAAAAAAUAAAAUAAAUUUUUAAAAACAAAAAUUAAAUUACAGAUUUACAGAUGUCAAUAAAUAAUUCUUGAUACGCAAUGGGAUUAUUUCCUGAUUCCAAUACAAUAAUUAGUUAAAGUUUAGUUAAAAACAGUGACAUAGGUACUCUAGUCGAUUUCACAACACUGAGCACUCGAUCGAAGCGACGACGAUAU